GUAGGGAAUAUUGGGCAAUGGUCGGAAGACUGACCCAGCCAUGCCGCGUGCAGGAAGACGGCCCUCUGGGUUGUAAACUGCUUUUAUCUGGGAAGAAAAAGGCCAUGCGUGGCAAAUUGCCGGUACCAGAUGAAUAAGCACCGGCUAACUCCGUGCCAGCAGCCGCGGUAAUACGGAGGGUGCGAGCGUUGUCCGGAUUUAUUGGGUUUAAAGGGUGCGUAGGCGGCUGAUUAAGUCAGCGGUGAAAGACUUCGGCUUAACCGGAGCAGUGCCGUUGAUACUGGUUGGCUUGAGGGUCGGAGGGGUACAUGGAAUUGAUGGUGUAGCGGUGAAAUGCAUAGAUACCAUCAGGAACACCGAUAGCGAAGGCAUUGUACUGGCCGACAACUGACGCUGAUGCACGAAAGUGUGGGGAUCGAACAGGAUUAGAAACCCUAGUAGUCC
rnacentral:rRNA from 1 species